rnacentral:lncRNA from 1 species
AUAUAUAUAUAUUUAUUUAUUUUUACAUUCUCUUAUCUACAGACAGUUCUACCAGUAUCACCAGCCGUUGUUUCAUUUCUCUUAUCCUCUAAUCUGUCAACCUCCUGCUUACGUGCAUCUUGUCAUUAUCCAGGAUUAAUUUUUAAUCAGCCUUUCCAAAUUUAUCCCGAUAAUCAGCUUUAGUUUUUAAUACCUUAUUUUUAUACCUACGUGACGACUGGUGAAGACAAGCCAAUUUUUAACAUAAUUUAAAAAACAAUGGUAUGUUCACGUGUUUAUUUAUUUCUCAUAAAUUAUCAUUAAUUUUUAUGGAAUUAGAUAGAAAAAAAAUCCCGAAAGUCGUCCGAGCGGAUACUAUGGCGGGUUAGAUUUUUCUAAUCGCACAUGAAUAACCAACUCAUAGAGGCAGUGACAUAUAGAGCAGUCACCACAUCAUAACCAUAGCGUGACGUCACACACGCUCGAUUUCAACCAAUCAGAUAGCCAGAAAUCGUUCCGGAGACAAUGGAUUCGUGUUCAGAAGAAAUUUAUCAGCUUUUUGGUAGACAAUGACAUCCGAAGACAUUGGCAAGGAUGACAUGUUUUUCUGCUCGUUUGUUCAAACAUAAGGGAACACCCUACAUUAAGUUAAGUGGGCGUUAAUGCACGGUAUAUUACAUAAAGAAAAUGGAUUUUUGCCUUAUUCGUAAUCACUCGUAUCAUAUUAAAUGAGUUUAAUAACAUCAAAUUUGUUAUCGAUCUGUUGACGUUUGUUCUAAUUAAACGAGAGAGAGAUUUUGCUUAAUAAUCGGUAGGCGAAAUUGUUAUUAGCAUCUCAUUCCUAUUGAUAAAUUGUUUCGAGGCUGUUUUAAUGUCAACAGUAUAUUAUUAGUUGAAUCGCAAAGAGGCAUAUGUGUGUACAGCAGCUCGUCUUGAAAUGAAAGGCUAGAGCUGACAAUAGAACCAUCUGGUGAGCAGUGGGACAAUCAACUUCAUUAAUAUUACUUGGCAGGUAUCAAGCCGGGUGCUGGUCCAGUCUCUCUCUCUCUAUCCAGGGGCUUAUCACUCUGUAAAUACCGUAUUCGUGCUUUAUAAGUAGAAGAAUCUUACCUACCACCGAACUGUUUAUUUUCUAGAUAAAGUUUUAACUCUUUAACCAUGCGUGAGAAAAGUUUAGUGUCUUGUAACUAUCUCUCAAAAACCAAGGCUAAUAUGAAACAAUGGAUUUUUUACGCCAGGCGUUGAAAGGAUGAUUUUUAUCGUUACUUUAUUUUAAAUUUAAGAUUUUUUUACGCGUAGUGUUAGAGGUUAAGCCCAUCUACUAGCGGCAAAUGUGAUGAGGCAUGAUGGGACGUGAGGUGGAAUGGAACGAAAUCCACCCCCGCGGACCAACUUUGGCAGACCCUUGGGUUAGUCUUAUACCGACUCCCAGAAGAUUUGUUUGGCUUUAAAAGAAAUUUAUGUGCCCCAGAGGCUGUCUUGACUCGCUUUUCCCUCUUCCAAGCAAUGAAAGGACUGCUUUUGGGGGACCUAGGGAUUCUGAAGUCUGUUCCCCGAAUGUCACCGAUUCCACUCAACCAUCUAUUUAUGUAUAGUUUCUUAUGGAAGAACUCUAGAAAUACUUUCACUCGGUAACUGGAUGAUAAAUUCAUAAAGAAAGAUGCCAGAAAUAGGAAAAUUUGCUGAUAAAGUCGCCGAGGGGAAAAUGUCACCGAAAAAAUUGCAUAAAAACGGUUAAAUUAGAUACUACAAGAACUUCGAGAGAAUAAUUUCUCUUUCUCUUGUUGUUGCUGCAGACUUCUUGCGAAAUCGUAAUGAAAAAUUUUGUUUACAAUAUUGAAAUAACUAUUACAAAAAUUGUGUGAUCAUGUUAAAUAAUUUUAGUAAAUAAAAUUAUCUCUGAAAAGUAAAAGAAAAAUCUUUCGAAAUCCCCAUACGAUUAAAAAGCAGAUUUUAGCAUUGUAGCAAUCGAUAAAUAUUCUUUUGCAGCACGAAUUCUUUGUUUCGUACAUGAAUAUUUUAUGGUACUUGGGACUAUAGAACAUAAGACGAGCCUAUUAACGUAUUUCUCGAUAUAUAGGAUAAGUCAAACAAGAACUGAAAAGGGAUGCGUGCCAAAAAAGCUUAUUACGAAAACCUUGAUACACCUUCAUUCUUUCUAAGCUGACUUGUGUUGCGGAUAAAGUAAAUACUUAAGAACUGUUUCAUCUCUUAUCAACAAGUAUUAAGCUACUUGCUUUCUAUACUUUUCUUCGGUCAUUUUUUCACGUAGCAUGGUAGAUGGGAAGGAAUACCGUGUCUGUGGUCAGUGUGGUCAGUUAGCCAAUCAGCACUACGCUAGUCCCUGACAGACUCAUUCUUCCUGAUGCCAAGUCUCCAAUCCAUUCAUUCACUUUUAGGAUGUGCUAUUUUUUUCCUUUUCUUCUUUCUCUUUUCUUUCCAUUCACUUCUUUCCUAGAAGAAAAAUUUUCUCGGUUACUACGAUUAUUUAGCAUCUUUUUACUCUCUUAUAUAAUUCACCAAACCUUUGGACUUUCUUAUCUUAUGACUAUGACAUUGUUUCCGAUUUUUAUUUGUCUCGCCUACUUCCUGUUAGUCUAUAUAAAUAGACAAGAUAUCUAUAAUCCCA